rnacentral:rRNA from 1 species
AUUGAACGCUGGCGGAAUGCUUUACACAUGCAAGUCGAACGGCAGCACGGGGGCAGCCCUGGUGGCGAGUGGCGAACGGGUGAGUAAUACAUCGGAACGUGCCCGGUCGUGGGGGAUAACGUAGCGAAAGUUACGCUAAUACCGCAUACGAUCUGAGGAUGAAAGCGGGGGACCUUCGGGCCUCGCGCGAUCGGAGCGGCCGAUGUCAGAUUAGGUAGUUGGUGGGGUAAAGGCCUACCAAGCCGACGAUCUGUAGCUGGUCUGAGAGGACGACCAGCCACACUGGGACUGAGGCACGGCCCAGACUCCUACGGGAGGCAGCAGUGGGGAAUUUUGGACAAUGGGCGCAAGCCUGAUCCAGCCAUUCCGCGUGCAGGACGAAGGCCUUCGGGUUGUAAACUGCUUUUGUACGGAACGAAAAGGCUCUGGCUAAUACCUGGGGCUCAUGACGGUACCGUAAGAAUAAGCACCGGCUAACUACGUG